AGGAUGAAAGGUCCUUGGAUUGUAAACUCCUUUCGACCAGGAAGAUGAUGACGGUACUGGAUGAAGAAGCACCGGCUAACUCUGUGC
rnacentral:rRNA from 1 species